GAUGAACGCUGGCGGCGUGCCUAAUACAUGCAAGUCGAGCGAACAGACGAGGAGCUUGCUCCUCUGACGUUAGCGGCGGACGGGUUAGUAACACGUGGAUAACCUACCUAUAAGACUUGGAUAACUUCGGGAAACCGGAGCUAAUACCGGAUAAUAUUUUCAACCGCAUGGUUCAAUAGUGAAAGACGGUUUUGCUGUCACUUAUAGAUGGAUCCGCGCUGCCUUAGCUAGUUGGUAAGGUAACGGCUUACCAAGGCAACGAUGCCUAGCCCACCUGAGAGGGUGAUCGGCCACACUGGAACUGAGAAACGGUACAGACUCCUACGGGAGGAAGCAGUAGGGAAUCUUACGCAAGGGGCGAAAGCCUGACGGAGCAACGCCGCGGGAGUGAUGAAGGUCUUCGGAUCGGAAAACUCUGUUAUUAGGGAAGAACAAAUGUGUAAGUAACUGUGCACAUCUUGACGGUACCUAAUCAGAAAGCCACGGCUAACUACGUG
rnacentral:rRNA from 1 species